rnacentral:lncRNA from 1 species
GUGGCUGUGACUGCCCGCCCUCACAACGGCCCGUUUUCUUCCCAGUGCUCUGAACUUUUGGGCAAAUGUGUCAAGUGUGUACACAGACAAAGCCUCACUUCAAAGCUCGUGUUCAGGGCCCUUAAAGUCAUAGUUAUUGCAAAACUGCGGCCGUCUGGCGAACCUGCCUUAUGUAAGGGUGCUUGAACGUAUGAUUCACCAAACAUUUCCGCAGACAUCGCAAAGUUGUUGGAGCCAGAGUAGGAGAAAGACCACCCAUUUGAGAUCAUGGCUUGACAGAAUGACACUUUAACGGGAAAUCAUCUGAUUUUCUUUUUCUGGCCGUGAGACUAAUGGAAGUUUUCAUGUGAGUGUCCAAAGAGAUGAUCUUGGAGUCUGGGAUACAACCAAGGAAGCAGCACGUCUGCCUGCACAUUAUGAUGCCUCCCACCAUGAUGACAAUGGACUAAAACCUCUGAAACUGUCCGGCUUGUUUGAUGUGGGAGCUAAGUCGGUCUAUACUGGUCUAACACAAAGCGAACACCCCAAGCGGGCCUGGACUAGAGAGGCUACCUGAACUGUGGCGUGCUUAAAGCAGUACCACAGAGAUGGGAGGCACCCAAGAGUCUUUGCCCCAUCAGGUGCUGCAAGAAACCUCUUCACUGAGCAGUUUAUAAACAAGUGUACUCCUCAGAGUCUGGAGGAAGGAGGUCUAAGAUGUAUCGGCCCCAACGCCUCCUAUCUUGUGGAUCGAGUUCCUGUGGAGGAAGCUAACACAGCGGUAAGCAAAUGUGGACUGACAGAGGACACAGGGCCAUUCGAGAAACUGUCAGAAACUGAGAAUCACCUCAGAACACGCUGAGAAGGAGAGCUAAGGAGGUGAGGCCUGGGUUGUGGGAGGUUGGCACCUGACAGCAGUGGUUCCCACUGCUGGGUUCUCUUCUGGUUUUGAUUGUCUACGCUCAGGCUUCAGAGCCCUGGGCAUGAGAAAAAAAAAGGGAGAAUGAAUACGUUAGUAUUCCAUGAAGGCAUAGAAGCAGGUAUGUGGGAAUGGCUGUCGUUCCAUCUUCUGGGUAGUCAUGGCUGUCAGGUGGGAGGCCCAGGGAGAGCCAGUGUCCCGUCAGUCAAAACCAUGGCAGGGUGGCUUACAUUCUAUCUCAGAUAAAUUCUUUUUGUUUGGUAGAGAAGCAUUCUCUCUGCUCUAUUUCAGCUUCGGUUAAAUGGACUACGAGGACCCACGUCAUAGAGGGAAGUCUGUCUCACUGAUUCUGAUUUUUUUCAAAUAAAAUGUUUUCUUU